rnacentral:rRNA from 1 species
AGAGUUUGAUCCUGGCUCAGGAUGAACGCUGGCGGCGUGCUUAACACAUGCAAGUCGAACGAACCUUCGGGUUAGUGGCGGACGGGUGAGUAACGCGUGGGAAUCUGCCCUCAGGAGGGGGAUAACGGUUGGAAACGGCCGCUAAUACCCCAUAUGCCGAGAGGUGAAAUGAAUUUCGCCUGAGGAUGAGCCCGCGUCUGAUUAGCUAGUUGGUGAGGUAAUGGCUCACCAAGGCUUCGAUCAGUAGCUGGUCUGAGAGGAUGAUCAGCCACACUGGGACUGAGACACGGCCCAGACUCCUACGGGAGGCAGCAGUGGGGAAUUUUCCGCAAUGGGCGCAAGCCUGACGGAGCAACGCCGCGUGAGGGAUGAAGGCCUCUGGGCUGUAAACCUCUUUUCUCAAGGAAGAAGAUCUGACGGUACUUGAGGAAUAAGCCACGGCUAAUUCCGUGCCAGCAGCCGCGGUAAUACGGGAGUGGCAAGCGUUAUCCGGAAUUAUUGGGCGUAAAGCGUCCGCAGGCGGCCCUACAAGUCUGCUGUUAAAAAGUGGAGCUUAACUCCAUCAUGGCAGUGGAAACUGUUGGGCUUGAGUGUGGUAGGGGCAGAGGGAAUUCCCGGUGUAGCGGUGAAAUGCGUAGAUAUCGGGAAGAACACCAGUGGCGAAGGCGCUCUGCUGGGCCAUAACUGACGCUCAUGGACGAAAGCCAGGGGAGCGAAAGGGAUUAGAUACCCCUGUAGUCCUGGCCGUAAACGAUGAACACUAGGUGUCGGGGGAAUCGACCCCCUCGGUGUCGUAGCCAACGCGUUAAGUGUUCCGCCUGGGGAGUACGCACGCAAGUGUGAAACUCAAAGGAAUUGACGGGGGCCCGCACAAGCGGUGGAGUAUGUGGUUUAAUUCGAUGCAACGCGAAGAACCUUACCAGGGUUUGACAUCCUGCGAAUCUCUUGGAAACGAGAGAGUGCCUUCGGGAACGCAGUGACAGGUGGUGCAUGGCUGUCGUCAGCUCGUGUCGUGAGAUGUUGGGUUAAGUCCCGCAACGAGCGCAACCCACGUCUUUAGUUGCCAGCAUUUAGUUGGGCACUCUAGAGAGACCGCCGGUGAUAAACCGGAGGAAGGUGUGGAUGACGUCAAGUCAUCAUGCCCCUUACAUCCUGGGCUACACACGUACUACAAUGCUACGGACAAAGAGCAGCAAGUUCGCGAGGACAAGCAAAUCUCAUAAACCGUGGCUCAGUUCAGAUCGUAGGCUGCAACUCGCCUACGUGAAGGAGGAAUCGCUAGUAAUCGCAGGUCAGCAUACUGCGGUGAAUACGUUCCCGGGCCUUGUACACACCGCCCGUCACACCAUGGAAGUUGGCCACGCCCGAAGUCGUUACUCCAACCCUUGUGGAGGAGGACGCCGAAGGUGGGGCUGAUGACUGGGGUGAAGUCGUAACAAGGUAGCCGUACCGGAAGGUGCGGCUG